rnacentral:lncRNA from 1 species
AGCAGUCAGAAUGCAAGCGAAGGUGAGCAAAAACCAAUUCAUUUGAGUGCCGGGACUUGUGGACAGAUGAUCAAGAGCCUGACAGGCAACUACAAGCAAGGUGAAAAGAAGUGAACCUAUGACAAACACAAAAGUCCCUGGAAGCUUCAUCUUGCAGCAAGAGGUGGGCAUUUGCUUGUCAAUUUAUAGUAGAUUGAAGUCUUCGAAUGUAAUGCUUCUAUUUUGUCUCAGUAAGAAUUCAUCGAGUCAUGAGCGGGAAGUCAGUCAGAUCCAACUUUCCAGGUCACGAGGUCAAGAGACGUUUAAGCACGACACAGGUGACAGAGAAAUACUGUCAUUGUGAUGAAUCGAUAUUACUCUUUCGAAACGCAAGUUCAUG